ensembl:lncRNA
GCGCCGCGCGCGCUGAUCUCUGAGGGCUUUUCCUGAGGAUUUUCUGAAGAGGUCACGCCGUGACGUGUCAAUCUUCUAUCGAUCACACGUCUUCACAUGAUACGAAUUCGCAGACAGCUGGAUGCUUGCGUAUGGAUUUCUAGGAAAUGGGGAACAUGUGUCUGGUGCUAGACAGACAGACGGGAGACACAAGGACAGCACCAGGAUGCACUAUGGGAAGAAGACGAGUCGGUGGAGGAAGUGUGAUGCUCUGGGCAAUGUUCUGCUGGGAAACCUUGGGUCCUGCAUACAUGUGGAUGUUACUUUGACACGUACCACCUACAUAAACAUUGCUUCAGACUCAGUUCCCUCUUUCAGCAGGAUAACGCUCCCUGACACCUGCAAACAUUGUUCAGGAACAGUUUGAGGAACAUGACAGAGUUCAAGGUGUUGACUCGACCUCCAAAUUCCCCAGAUCUCAAUUCGAUCGAGCAUCUGUGGGAUAUGAUGGACAGGGAGGCCCCACCUCACAACUUACAGGACUUAAAGGAUCUGCUGUUAACAUCUCGGUGCCAGGUACCACAGCACAACUUCAGAGGUCUUGUGGAGUCCGUGGCUUGAUGGGUCAGAGCUGUUUUGAAGGCACAAGGAGAUGAGAACCUACACAAUAUUAGGCAGGCAGUUUUAAUGUUAUGGCUGAUGGUUUAUACAUUGAAAUAAGCUUUUUACAAAUGCUGGCCAAUAUUGUUGGUCUAUAAAAUAUUUUUUUUUUAUUGCCAAUUAAUCAGUUAACCCUUGUGCGUCAAUCAAAAAUGGCGCACUUAUAUAGUGCUUUUAUCCAAAGCUAAAAAAAAGUUACACAUAGAGGACAAAAAUUUCCAUGUCCAAAAACUGUCCAGAAGGCUUGAAAUAUUUCACUUUGUGUGUAAUGAAUCUAAAAUAUAUGAAAGUUCCACUUUUUGAAUUAAAUUAUGGGGAAAAAAUAACUUUUGCACGAUAUUCAAAUUUUUUGAGAUGCACCUGUAUUUUUCCCCAGAGGCUAAACCUGAUAAAAUACUACACAUUUCAGAAUUUUUAUUAUUUUUUUAAAUCGUUUUGAAACCUUGUCAACAAAAUAAAAGCCUAUGAACACAGAGCGCAUGAUUUUAUGCUAAACGUCACAGGGAUUAAAUAUUGCAGUUUGAACGGGUUUCAAUGAGGACGUUUUUGUCCUUAAGGUCCUGAGUGGAACUGUUUUGUGUAUCUAGUUUAAAAUAGAUUUAUCAAAGCAAAUGAGGGUGAAAUAUUAAAAUUCCAAUAAAAAUACACACUUUUUGCAAAAUUGAUGCUUUUAGCAAAAUUGUUUUUAAAAAUAAAUAAAAAGUCAAAAAUGUCCAUGAGGACACACAAGGGUUGAUCUUUACAAACAAAAUGUUCUCUAACUUCAAACCCACCAUUUACCAGAAAAACUAAAGAGCAUGUAUGAUAUGCAGACAGUCUGACACACUCCUUGGCUUCACACUCCCUGGCUUCCAAAGUUACACAACAUGAGUGGAUUUUUUGGUGUAAGCACUUGCUGGAGACACAAGAAGUGAGACUGAGACCUAAAAACAUAUUUAGGUGUGUGCGUGUGUGUGCUGUUGCACUUUGGCACCACACUAGAUGCUGGUUGGUCAUGUUUUACCUGUUCAUUGUUAUUAAAAUGUAUUUGAACAAAGUUAAUGUUAGUUAAUGAGCAAGCCUGAUGUGUAUUGGUGUAUUCCUAACAUUUAGCUUAGCAUGGUUACACUUGUAUGUUGAAGUCAUGAAUAAAGGUG